UUGUCCUACGGGGGGCAGCAGGGGGGAAUCUGACGCAAUGGGCGAAAGCCGGAUGGAGCAACGCCGCGUGGGUGAAGAAGGUCUUCGGAUCGUAAAACCCUGUUGUUAGAGAAGAAAGUGCGUGAGAGUAACUGUUCACGUUUCGACGGUAUCUAACCAGAAAGCCACGGCUAACUACGUGCCAGCAGCCGCGGUAAUACGUAGGUGGCAAGCGUUAUCCGGAUUUAUUGGGCGUAAAGGGAACGCAGGCGGUCUUUUAAGUCUGAUGUGAAAGCCUUCGGCUUAACCGGCGUAGUGCAUUGGAA
rnacentral:rRNA from 1 species